AAUUGGAGGGCAAGUCUGGUGCCAGCAGCCGCGGUAAUUCCAGCUCCAAUAGCGUAUAUUAAAGUUGUUGCAGUUAAAAAGCUCGUAGUUGAAUUUCGGGACUGACAGGUUGGUCGCGCCUUCGGUGUGUACUGGCCUAGUCGGUUUCUCCCUUCUGACGAACCACGAUGUCAUUAAUUUGGUGUCGUGGGGAAUCAGGACUGUUACUUUGAAAAAAUUAGAGUGUUUAAAGCAGGCUUAGGCUUGAAUACAUUAGCAUGGAAUAAUGAAAUAGGACGUUUGACCCUAUUUUGUUGGUUUCUAGGAUUGACGUAAUGAUUAAUAGGGAUAGUUGGGGGCAUUAGUAUUCAAUUGUCAGAGGUGAAAUUCUUGGAUUUAUUGAAGACUAACUACUGCGAAAGCAUUUGCCAAGGAUGUUUUCAUUAAUCAAGAACGAAAGUUAGGGGAUCGAAGACGAUCAGAUACCGUCGUAGUCUUAACCAUAAACUAUGCCGACUAGGGAUCGGAUGAUGUUAAUUUUUUAAUGACUCAUUCGGCGCCUUACGGGAAACCAAAGUGU
rnacentral:rRNA from 1 species